AGGGUUCGAUUCUGGCUCAGGAUGAACGCUGGCGGCGUGCUUAACACAUGCAAGUCGAACGGGAUCCAUCAGGCUUUGCUUGGUGGUGAGAGUGGCGAACGGGUGAGUAAUGCGUGACCGACCUGCCCCAUACACCGGAAUAGCUCCUGGAAACGGGUGGUAAUGCCGGAUGCUCCAGUUGAUCGCAUGGUCUUCUGGGAAAGCUUUCGCGGUAUGGGAUGGGGUCGCGUCCUAUCAGCUUGACGGCGGGGUAACGGCCCACCGUGGCUUCGACGGGUAGCCGGCCUGAGAGGGCGACCGGCCACAUUGGGACUGAGAUACGGCCCAGACUCCUACGGGAGGCAGCAGUGGGGAAUAUUGGGCAAUGGGCGCAAGCCUGACCCAGCAACGCCGCGUGAAGGAAGAAGGCUUUCGGGUUGUAAACUUCUUUUGUCAGGGACGAGUAGAAGACGGUACCUGACGAAUAAGCCACGGCUAACUACGUGCCAGCAGCCGCGGUAAUACGUAGGUGGCAAGCGUUGUCCGGAUUUACUGGGUGUAAAGGGCGUGUAGCCGGGAGGGCAAGUCAGAUGUGAAAUCCACGGGCUCAACUCGUGAACUGCAUUUGAAACUACUCUUCUUGAGUAUCGGAGAGGCAAUCGGAAUUCCUAGUGUAGCGGUGAAAUGCGUAGAUAUUAGGAGGAACACCAGUGGCGAAGGCGGCUUGCUGGACGACAACUGACGCUGAGGCGCGAAAGCGUGGGGAGCAAACAGGAUUAGAUACCCUGGUAGUCCACGCCGUAAAC
rnacentral:rRNA from 1 species